AUAAAAUUCUCAACCUAUUGGCUAAGACCAAGAGUAGUAUCUGUUCUUUUCACUUUAAUAUCUGAUACGUCCUUUAUCUGAGGACAUUUUUGUUGUGUUAUUUCUUUUCUUUUCUUUCUUCCUUCCCCCCCCCCCCCAGACAGGAUUUCUCUGUGGCUUUGGAGCCUAUCCUGGAACUCGCUCUUGUAGACCAGGCUGGUCUCGAACUCACA
rnacentral:snRNA from 1 species